GCACCGCUGCCAUCCCCGCCACCCGCCGCGCGCCACGUGCAGUCACCCGGCACAUACAGUUAUCGCCAUUCCACAGAAGAGGAGACUGAGCCCCGGCGCCGUGCCCAAGCUCUCGCAGCCAGGACGGCGACGAGCUGGAGGUCUCAAAACCGGUCAGAUGGCUCCGGAGCCGGGAUCUUUAGCUCCAGCUCGGCUUCCUUUGGGUGCUGGUUGUCCGCAGCGCUGGGGGAUCUGACACUGCACCGGCGCAAACAGCCGCCGAGCGCUAAUAAUUGGGCUUUGUUUUAAAGUGGGCCACAGCAUCUUUCUGAACCUCUAGACUGUGCGCGGGGUGACCCACGUUCGGACGCCCAGCCAGUGGCCUAGGAGUGGCCUGCGUAGCCCCAACUCAAGGGUAUCGAGGACAAGUGCGCGAGGGGCUCCGUGGCUGCUUGCCGGGUGCGGGUACCUGGCGCCCAGCGACCCAAACCCUAUGGAUCGCGCGGGGCCGGCGGAAGGGAGGAGGGCGGGCGCUAGGCACACAGUGUUCCCGAACCCGGCGGGAGGGCCUGCCAAGUUCGCGGCGGGCGUGACGCGGAAACGUAGAUAAUGAGGCCCAGGGCGGGGCCGGACGCACUGCCCCGCGGGCUCCAGAGCUGCGAACGCCCCAGAGUGUGCAGGGAGGCCUGCAGAAAGAAAAUGCGGCUGAGGGUCCCCGUGGGACCCACUCAGAGGUGGGCCGUAAAGAUCCCGGAAGGGUGGAUGGCAUUAGAUACCACCUAGUACUCCAGCAAGGGCUGGGUCACCGAAUUGGGAUCUCGGCCUCUUCUUCCAGUCUGGGGAAAAGUGUGUUAAAUGCUAAACAUCAGUGUUUAUCGAGUGAGGCCCAGCCUGUCUGGCAUAAUGAUUUUUAAAAUCUACAUUCAAAUAUUAAAUAAAAACUCAACCUCCCCAAUAACAUUUGAACAUAAAUAUUAGUGUGCGCUCUCUAGGUUAGGGAAACUGAAGCUGGGAGUGUGGGUAAGGAUGCCCAGCACUUAGGAGCCACAGGGUAAGUAAUGUUUGUCCAAAACUCGGGUCCCUCCUGUACUUUCCAUUCUGUCUGUUCAUUCAUCCAGUUUAGAUAUGAAUUGGUACCAACGUGUGCCAGGUUCUGCGCUAGUGACUGACAGUGUUGGCACAGGGAGGCAGCCAUGCUCCCGAGUCCUGGGAGUGGGCAGCACUGCCCUGUGGGUCUGCACUGGCUUCCAAAUGUCUAAGUGGGCACUGUUACUCACUGUGACAGCAUCCCCAGGCUUUCUUACCUGGUAAAGCAGAAACUCAAACAUACUUACACACCAAUAUUCAUUGCAGCAUUAUUUAUGAUGGCCAAAAGAUGGAAGCAACUCCAGUGGAUGAAUGCAUACAGUUACUAUUACAGCAGGGAAGACAGACAUUGGAAAAUAAUGCCCCGUGAACGGACAGUCACGAAAGACAGGAACCAUGGGAGCAGAAGCGAGGAAUGAAGGAGCUGAGCCCGAGGGAGGAAGGGAGAUAUUCAGGAGCAUUUUAAGGCAAGAUGGAUGAGAAAGCUAGAGGAUGAAUUGGCCAAGCAAAAACUAGCAAAACCCGGGUGUUGCGGGAGGAUGAACAUUUUAGAAAAAGGGACCAGCAUGUUGAAAUCCAAAAGGAGCAUGGCUGUCUUGAAGGAUGGGGAAAAGUCUAGACAGCUGGAGCAGAGCAAAGGGAAGAGCCAGGGGACUUGGAGGUAGGCAGGCCAGAGCUCAGGGCCCUGGAGACUUUGGUGAGAAUUUCCGUCUUUUAUCUUAAGCCAGCAAAGAACUGUAAGUACAAAAGUGAUGUGAUUGGAUGUGUGUUGGUAAAAAGUCCUUCUCGGCUGCUGAGUGCAAAUGGACUGGAGGAGUCAAAAGCAGGCCCUGGAAGUAUGUGUGCCAAAUAACUAAAAGCAGAGACAGACUCAAACAGAUACUUAUGCACCAAUAUUCCUUGCAGCAUUAUUUAGAAGAGCUGACAGAUGGAAGAACCUCAGUGGAUGAAUGGAUAAACAAUAUAUGGCAUGUGGCCGGCUGCAGUGGCUGGUGCCUGUAAUCCCAGCACUUUGGGAGGCCGAGGUGGGUGGAUCACCUGAGGUCAGGAGUUCAAGACCAGCCUGACCCACACGGUGAAACCCCAUCUCUACUAAAAAUACAAUAUUAGCCAGGUAUGGCGGCACACGCUUGUAGUCCCACCUACUCGGGAGGCUGAGGCAGGAGUAUUGCUUGAACCCGGGAGGCAGAGGCUGCAGUGAGCCAAGGUUGCACCACUGCACUCCAGCCUGGGCAAGACAGAGCGAGACUCCGUCUCAAAAAAGAAAAGUGGGUCUGGGGAGAUGGCCGUGGUGAGGGAGAGAGUGCAGUCAGGGGUUUAUGGCUGUGCUUGGGCUGAUGUGCUCGCUGUACACCCAGAAAGAAGAGGAGAAGCGGCCACAAUGGAAGGAUGUUUAGAAGGCAGAUGGACAGCACAAUGCGACCGGGCAGUCGUGGGCUAUGAGAGGGUCUGAAGGACGUCUCCCUGGCUUCCCUCUGUUUUGUCCCUUAGCCCCUCACUGUUAAAUCAGAAGAUUUUGGUCCUAAUCUGAUCUCUUUAAGAAUUUUGGAAUCUUGCGAGAAAACUGAAUUGCUCAGUUAUCUUUCUCUCUGGACCCCACACUUUUCUAAGAGCUUUGUAGGUCAAAUACCUUAACUCUGAGGCACUAUAACAACUCAUAGGACGGAAAAGUGGGAAAAGGAAUAUAUGUUUCAAAGAGGGAUGAACAGUGUAAAAUCAAUCUGGGGUCUGGAGAGAAAUAAUCUUUUCCACCGAGGCAGUUUUCCUUAAAUGCUUUCUACUAUGAUGGAAUUUGAAUAAUAAAAACAGUCAUAGCCACUUGGUAUUUCAACACAGUUAUGGGAGCUGGAAUUAAAGUGAAUGAUGACUGGUGUGCCAAAUAAUAAAGUGUUUCCAAAAUAUUAAUACUCACAACAACCCUUUGAGAUAGGUACUAACUAGGCUAACUACGUCAUUUACUUGCCCAGUGCAAAACGAAAAUGUGGGGCCCCUCGUUCAAGGAUUAUUAAGAAUUCCAGGAUGAUAAUAGCAGAGCAUUAAACCAAGCAUAGUUUAAUGCUUUGAACACAGGGCCCUGAGUGAUUGCUCAGGUCAUAUGAAGCUGGCCCAGGUACAACAGGAAUCUUCAUUUCUCAGAUGGGGAGACUGAGGGCACAGAGUCAUACUGACCGUCCGAACCAAGACUUGAAGCCCUCUUAUACUGCAAAGGCACAGCAAUUAGGUGGAGGUAAAAUAAAGGGUUCUUUUCUAAGUGAUGGCACCAUUGGGCAAUCUUGUUCCUUCUUGUACUAGUUUGAAAAGUGCCUCUGUAGUCACAGCAUUCAGUCCAUGUGUGCAAGAGGCAACCUUUACAGGACAUUGUAAAUUACACGUCUUACUUUCUGUCUCUUUGUUUUCUUUUAAAGCAAUUCCUGCACCUUCUUUUCAGCUCCAUGUUACAUCUCUAUUUUCCUUCUUCCUUGAGAUCCUAGCUACUUGUCUCUCACCCUCUGCCAUAUCCAAGCCUAUUUAUUUUUUCUUUAGGUGGAGUCUUGCUCUGUUGCCCAAGCUGGAGUGCAGUGGCACGAUCUUGGCUCACUGAUAUCUCCGCCUCCUGGGUUCAAGUGAUUCUCCUGACUUAGCCUCCCA
rnacentral:lncRNA from 1 species